CUUUCAUCCCUGGAUGUCACUGGGGCUCCCUUGCUGAGUGAAUUUUGGCAUUUUGGUGGGGAUGGGAGGAGCCUGAGAUCCAAGAUGUACAGGAUCCAGGCCUUCCGCAGCUGCUGUCUGCUGGGAUUUGAUGGGAAUCCUGAGACCUGGACCCCGAGUGACCAGCCUGAGAGCUGUGAAUGCCUGGGUACCCAGGACCUUAUCCUGGAUCUUCUCCUCUCCCAUACCUUCUACUGUAUCAGAUCCAGGCUCUGAAUAAGCUGAGCUUUCCCAUGUAUUCCCGUGUGGACCAG
rnacentral:lncRNA from 1 species